rnacentral:rRNA from 1 species
UACGUAGGGGGCAAGCGUUGUCCGGAUUUAUUGGGCGUAAAGAGCGUGUAGGCGGCCAGGUAGGUCUGCUGUGAAAACUCGAGGCUCAACCUCGAGAUGUCGGCGGAAACCAUCUGGCUAGAGUCCGGAAGAGGAGAAUGGAAUUCCCGGUGUAGCGGUGAAAUGCGCAGAUAUCGGGAAGAACACCCGUGGCGAAGGCGGUUACCUGGAGCUUUGCUGACGCUGAUGCGCGAAAGCGUGGGGAGCGAUCCGG